rnacentral:tRNA from 1 species
GGGGCUAUAGCUCAGUUGGGAGAGCGCGUCGUUCGCAAUGACGAGGUCGGCGGUUCGAUUCCGCCUAGCUCCACCA